UACGAAGGGGGCGAGCGUUGUUCGGAAUUACUGGGCGUAAAGGGCGCGUAGGCGGCGACUCUAGUCAGAUGUGAAAGUCCUGGGCUUAACCUGGGGACUGCAUUUGAUACUGGAUUGCUUGAAUUCGUGAGAGGAUAGCGGAAUUCCCAGUGUAGAGGUGAAAUUCGUAGAUAUUGGGAAGAACACCGGUGGCGAAGGCGGCUAUCUGGACCGACAUUGACGCUGAGGCGCGAAAGCGUGGGGAGCAAACAGG
rnacentral:rRNA from 1 species